rnacentral:rRNA from 1 species
GACGAACGCUGGCGGCGUGCCUAACACAUGCAAGUCGAGCGAUGAAGCCCUUCGGGGUGGAUUAGCGGCGGACGGGUGAGUAACACGUGGGUAACCUACCUCAAAGAGGGGGAUAGCCUCCCGAAAGGGAGAUUAAUACCGCAUAAUAUUGGAUCUUCGCAUGGAGAUUUAAUUAAAGGAGCAAUCCGCUUUGAGAUGGACCCGCGGCGCAUUAGCUAGUUGGUGAGGUAACGGCUCACCAAGGCGACGAUGCGUAGCCGACCUGAGAGGGUGAUCGGCCACAUUGGAACUGAGACACGGUCCAGACUCCUACGGGAGGCAGCAGUGGGGAAUAUUGCACAAUGGGCGAAAGCCUGAUGCAGCAACGCCGCGUGAGUGAUGAAGGCCUUCGGGUUGUAAAACUCUGUCUUCUGGGACGAUAAUGACGGUACCAGAGGAGGAAGCCACGGCUAACUACGUGCCAGCCGCCGCAGUAAAAC